rnacentral:lncRNA from 1 species
ACUCAAAUAUGUCCAAACAGCCAGAGGGGAAGUGAAUGACCAACUGGGUAGGCUGAUGAAUAUUUUCCUGGUAAAUGCAUAACUUUCCCCACAACUGUGAUGCUUUAUCCUUUGACAUUAAGAAUGCUGUUUGCAGAAGUAACAUUCCUUUGAACACUCAGCUUUCUGAAAUGGUGUCCCACCGCAAGGACUGGAGAAGGGUAAACCUCAGGUUCUCCUCCUGCCUUUUGCUAAGUAUAUGUCUUGAUGACAAGCCUUCUGCUGAUGAGCUGUGUUUCUGGACCGAUCAUGGUAGAAGUCAAUUAACGUGUCCCUCACUUGGGGUUUCUCAAGGCUGCACUGAUGAGGAAACUGAAACAGAAAAUCCAGAGUAAAUUCCACCAGGCCACACAGCAAGGUCUGAUAGAGCCAGGAGAGACUUUAUGAAAUCCAGACUCUCACACUAAUGCUCUAUCAGCUAGACCUCCAUGUGAGUCUCCCCAAUGUAGGUAGGAAGUGCUUUCCCUAAAAUGCUCAUAAAGCAAAUCAGAGCAAUGCUGCAUUCCAUGUGAUUUCUAAUUUGAAAUGCAAACAAUUGCCAAUUUGUUUGACUUGUAUUUAUAAUUAUUUCCUUGUGAAUUACUCAUCACUAAAUGCUUUAUAAAUAUUUUCUCUUUUUUUCCUCAAUGUCUAUGGAAUGAUCACAGCAUAGAAAAUGUUGGCUUUCAAGGAUUUAUUAAUAUCUCCUUUUGAAAUAACAUGUAUUUGUAAGACAGAAUAAAAUCACUUUAAAGAAA